UACGUAGGGGGCAAGCGUUGUCCGGAUUUACUGGGCGUAAAGAGCGCGUAGGCGGAACGUUAAGCGGGGCCGGAAAGCCCCCGGCUCAACCGGGGAAGGGGCCGCGAACUGGCGUUCUUGAGGGGGAGAGGGGAGAGCGGAAUCCUGGUGUAGCGGUGAAAUGCGCAGAUAUCAGGAGGAACACCGGUGGCGAAGGCGGGUCUCUGGGACGGUACUGACGCUGAGACGCGAAAGCGUGGGGAGCGAACAGG
rnacentral:rRNA from 1 species